GACAGGUUGAGUUUAAGGAAGUGAGCAGCCAUCCAGCUGGAAAUAGCAGAGAGGCAGUCAGAAACACGAGUCAAGGUGGGCGGAGAGAGAUCAGGGGAGGACAGGUAGAUUUGCGUGUCAUCUGCAUAUAAAUGGUAUUGGACGCCAAAAGAGCUGAUGAGUUUACCAAGGGAGGCAGUAUAGAUAGAGAACAGUAGGGGGGCGAGGACAGAACCUUGGGG